rnacentral:lncRNA from 1 species
AUGUCUGUGCAUCUGUGUGUAUGUCUCUGUGUGUGUGUGUCUCUCUGUGUGUGUGUGUGUCUAUGUGUAUGUCUGUGCCUCUGUGUGUGUGUCUGUGUGUGUUUAUGUCUGUGUGUGUAUCUGUGUCUCUGUAUGUGUCUCUGUGUGUGUCUGUGUCUGUCUGUGUGUGUGUCUGUGUCUGUGUGUGUCUGUGUGUGUGUGUGUGUGUGUCUCUG